rnacentral:misc_RNA from 1 species
UCAGCGAAUUCAGCAUUCUUUCCUAGUUUUGACACCAUGGCAGCCCCUUUCUCCCUAUUUCGACCAGCAAUAACAAUGUUAAGGUCAGGACAAAGCUUAGAAAGAGCAAUAGCAGUAGAACCACCAACUCUUCCAGUUCCACCAAGUAUUACUGCUUUUGAGUUUCUCACUUUCUCUGCUACCUCUACUCUCUUUUCAUUCUCUUUUGCUAAAUUAGCAGCUCUUACAAAUACCCUUUUCUUGAUUCCUGUAGUCCAGGAGUACAUG